UACGUAGGGUGCAAGCGUUGUCCGGAAUUAUUGGGCGUAAAGAGCGUGUAGGCGGCCCGAUUAGUCCGCUGUGAAAGUCCAGGGCUCAACCCUGGAAUGCCGGUGGAUACUGUCGGGCUAGAGUCCGGAAGGGGCGAGUGGAAUUCCUGGUGUAGCGGUGAAAUGCGUAGAUAUCGGGAGGAACACCUGAGGCGAAGGCGGGCUACUGGGCCGAUACUGACGCUGAGGCGCGAAAGCCAGGGGAGCGAACAGG
rnacentral:rRNA from 1 species